rnacentral:rRNA from 1 species
UGAGGAAUCUUCCGCAAUGGGCGAAAGCCUGACGGAGCGACACCGCGUGAAGGAUGACGCCUUUAUUGGUGUAAACUUCUUUUCUGUGGGAAGAUAAUGACGGUACCACAGGAAUAAGGGGCGGCAAACUACGUGCCAGCAGCCGCGGUAAUACGUAGGCCCCAAGCGUUAUCCGGAAUUACUGGGCGUAAAGAGUGCGUAGGCGGAGUGGAAAGUCAGAUGUGAAAGGCUGGGGCUCAACCCCAUGUUUGCAUCCGAAACUUCCACCCUAGAAUGAGGGAGAGGUAAGCAGAAUAGUAUGAGUAGGGGUGCAAUCCGUUGAUACAUACUAGAAUACCAAAAGCGAAGGCAGCUUACUGGAACUUUAUUGACGCUGAGGCACGAAAGCGUGGGGAGCGAAAAGG